rnacentral:lncRNA from 1 species
UUAAUUAUGGAGUUAGAUUGAAGCUGAGAGACAAAAAGAGCUAGUGAUACCAGAAGAAGCCAAACAGCUUGGAGUAUUUCAUAACUUCGAAAUGUCUUUGAAGAACGUUCCGUUAAUGUGUUCUGGAUUGCUUCAAGGUUGCCAUUCUCUUACACCUCUCUUUUCCAUUUAUUUAUCUACACACAUAUACCAUCUUUCCUUUUCUUUUUCUUGCUAGGUGUGUUCUUCUUUGACGAAAACAAUGGACUCUCUCUCUCUCUCUCUCUUCUCUGUUUUGAUGCAAGAGAAGGUCUAAGGAACUCAAAACAUAUCCAUUUUUCACCCAUUGGAAGACUCAUUCGUUCCCACCCUCUCUUUACAUAUCGAAUUGUUGAAUAUGUGCAGAAACAUUGUUGUAGUAUUGCGAAUUGAGAGGCAGGGUGAGGUGUGAGAAAAGGAGAGAGGUUUUCAAGACAGAGAGAGAGAGAGAGUGAAAGACACAU